GACGAACGCUGGCGGCGUGCUUAACACAUGCAAGUCGAACGGAAAGGCCCUGCUUUUGUGGGGUGCUCGAGUGGCGAACGGGUGAGUAACACGUGAGUAACCUGCCCUUGACUUUGGGAUAACUUCAGGAAACUGGGGCUAAUACCGGAUAGGAGCUCCUGCUGCAUGGUGGGGGUUGGAAAGUUUCGGCGGUUGGGGAUGGACUCGGGGCUUAUCAGCUUGUUGGUGGGGUAGUGGCUUACCAAGGCUUUGACGGGUAGCCGGCCUGAGCGGGUGACCGGCCACAUUGGGACUGAGAUACGGCCCAGACUACUACGGGAGGCAGCAGUGGGGAAUAUUGCACAAUGGGCGGAAGCCUGAUGCAGCAACGCCGCGUGCGGGAUGACGGCCUUCGGGUUGUAAACCGCUUUCGCCUGUGACGAAGCGUGAGUGACGGUAAUGGGUAAAGAAGCACCGGCUAACUACGUG
rnacentral:rRNA from 1 species